AAAAUAUUUACAUGACCCAUUUAAAUUUUCAAUUUUAAAUGACAAUAAUGAAUGUAAACCCUAAAUCAUAAAGCCCCAAAUUCUUAAGUCUAAACUAAACAAACGUUCAAAACUCAAUUCAACUGAGAAGCGCAGACCGCUUCAGUCUUCAGCCUCUCGCCUUAGAGGCUCAAACCAUCAUCGUCCGCUGACAUAAAAAAAUAGUAGGUUCAAGUUCAACCAUAUCUCCUAAAGCUCGUGAUUUGAUUUUGAAACAUUGUGUGAUCGUUUAAGACACCAAAGAAGGGCGUUGUGACUUGUGAUUGUGUUUAUUGUAUUAUGGUGUUUUAAGUUGUGACUUACGUUUUGUAUUAUUUUGUGGUGUUGCAUUGAUGUUAUUUUGUUGGCUGGCCGCUGGAGCAGCUAGACAUUGUUUUGUUGCAUUGAUGUUAUUUUAAUUUUUUUGGAACUUGAAUGUCAGCUAAAGCCUAGAUGUGCUCAGCCUCAGGCUUUGAAUGUGUUGAAUUGUAAAUCUGAAGAGAUGGUGUCGUUUGAUUUGAUGAUGUUGUAUUUUUUUUUAUAAAAAUGUGUGGACACUGGACAAGUUUUCUGAGUAAAGGUAACUGGGCAGCCUUAUGUUU